AGGAAAUGACAUCAUGCUGUUUAGGAAAUUUAAAAUAGUAUUACUAAGUCCUGCUGCCUCCUACACACUCCACUUCCUGUGUCCAAAAUUACCUUCGGCGUGUUUACCGUACAACACAGGAAGUGACAUCACCCUCAUGAGACAGCAGUUUUUUUUAGAUACUAUUCCAAUUUCAUGAUAAGAAAUUAAGUUAUCUGUUUAUCAACCGCUUGUUGUGGAUCGGACGUUGGCGGCGUUGGGAUUAUUUCGUAAACAUGAUUCAUAAACCUGGAUGAAGGGAAGGAAGUAAAAAAAACCCUCUGAACGUUAGGAAGAAACAGAGCGGAACCGAGAGCGAGAAAGGAGAAGCCAGGGGUCCACAGAGGAGCGAGAGAGGGACUGCACGGGGACGAGGACGGGACACGAGGACGGGACGAACGGCAGAAGUGUCCGACGGCUUUUUGUCAGUGAAACACGAAAAGGAUUUUUCAGAAGUGUGUCGACUGAAACAACGCAUCCCCGCUUCCUUUAUUUCAGCUGCAGUCCUUAUAAGUACAUAUUA